rnacentral:hammerhead_ribozyme from 1 species
AUCCAGUUGACGAGUCCCAAAAUAGAAUGUAACGCGCAUCCUGGAU